GACGGAAGGUGCAAGCGUUGCUCGGAAUCACUGGGCGUAAAGGGUGCGUAGGCGGCCGUGCAAGUCUGGCGUGAAAGCCCCGGGCUCAGCCCGGGAAGUGCGCUCGAAACUGCGCGGCUCGAGUGCCGGAGGGGAGAGUGGAAUUCCUGGUGUAGCGGUGAAAUGCGUAGAUAUCUGGAGGAACACCGGUGGCGAAGGCGGCAUCCUGGACCGGUAUUGACGCUGAGGCGCGAAAGCCAGGGGAGCAAACGGG
rnacentral:rRNA from 1 species